GGAGGUGGUAGUAAGUUUUAAAUAAGUCGGGAGAGCUUCCUCCUGGCGGGACUCCGACCGGACUGGCGGGUGUCUGCUUCUCCUCCUCCCUGCCUCUUGCUCUCACGCAAUUAGGAGCCACAGUUCGAUUCUAAGUGAAAUACAAGUCGGUUCCUCUCCUGGAAUAGAGCAUGAGCAGAGUUUCGGAUUACCUAGGAAUGAAACUUGAUCCAGUUUAGUCACAGUUUUCUGUUCCUGCGAGUCCAUGAGAUGGUCAUAUUAUUCAAGAAAGUCAAUCAGAACCCUCUGAGAUGUUUUUCAAGUUGCCUUAAGAGGGAAGAUCAGCUGAGAGGAUGUGAACCAGGAACCACUUUGGCUAUAGUUAAUAUCUGAAGGGAGUUAUCAGAGCCAGCCUCAGGUCCUGACUGCUCUGGAGCAUUGAACACUUUUUACCAGAUUCUUCUAGUGGGAAUCCCCUACCCUACACUGUUUGGAGAAGCCCUUCCAAAGGACCUAACAAGCUUCAGAGCCUCUCAUCCUGACUCAACACUGCUCCAGUAUAUGGAUGACUUCCUGUUAGGUGCUACUGAACCAGCUGCCUGCCUGCAAGACACACUCAAGACCUGUUCCAGCUGCUCUAGGCCUUGAGAUACCAUAUCUCCACAAAGAAGGCUUAACUUUACCAGAGGGAAGGCUCCUACUUGGGAUACAACUCUCUUGAGGAGCAAAUGGCCAAUGGAUGUCAAAUGCCUGCAUCACUCAGUACCAGGGUCUGCUGGUCAGCCCCAUCUCACCUUCUCAGCCAUUCAGAGCCUUAACCUGCCAACACGGAUGCCCAACAAACAUGGAGGUGCCCCGACAUGACUGUGAGGAUUUACUGGACAUCCCCCAGGCUAGUCGCUUAGACCUCCAAGGCACCCCUUUACCUAAGGCAGAUGCCAACUUAUUCAUGGAUGAAAGCAGUUUCGUGACAGAGGGAACCCGGAAGGCCACUAUGGCCACAUAACAGGAUAUUAUCUGGGCCUAAGCCUUGCCCCAGGGCACCUCCCCACAGAGGCUGAACUGAUCACCCUGACCCAGGCCCUAUGUUGAGAAACAGACAAAUAGGUGAACAUUUUCACAGACAGCAGAUGUGCCUUUGUCAUUCUUUCAUGCCCAUACUAUGAUCUAUAAGGAAAGAAGACUCUGACACUCCCAUGGCAGAAGGCUGCUGAGCUACUUGCACUUCCAGGAAAUAGAAAAAGAACCCUAUGAAAUGAUGGACCCUGCACAACUUCAGCAUCACCCUUUCUACAGCCCUUGUGGACCAGCUUCAUCGAACAACCCACCUGGGUGCCAUCAAACUGAUUGAACUACUUUCUGAAAAAGAAAAGAAACUACUUACUGAUUCUAAACCAGAGUCUUCAGUAGCAGCCCCACAGCAUGCAUUGCUUCACCUUAGAGAGAAUUGCUGUACAGAGGUUUACUGCUCUCUCAUUCUACUGGUACUGAGUUUAUCAAAACAAUUUUUAUUUAUAUGUUUCAGUUCUAAAAUUUCUACUUGAUUCUUCUUUAUUCUGUGUAUAUCAAGAUCUUCUCUUUCUAUUCACUUCAUAAUUAUUCUUACUCAUUGGAACAUUCUUUUUAAUUACUUUUUUUCAUUUUAUGUGUAUGAAUGCUUUGCCUUCAUGUAUGUAUGUGUAUCAUGUGAGUGUCUCUUGCCUUUAGAGGCACUGGAGCUCCUGAAACUGGAGUUGCAUAUGAUUGUUAGACAUCAUCUGGGUUCUGGGAACCAGACUCUGGUCCUUGCAAGAGCGGCAAGUUUAUCUUAACCACUGAAAUAUCUCUCCAGCCCCUCAUUGGACCAUUUUUAACAUACCUAGUGAUGUCUUUGGCAGAUUAUUACAACAUCAAUGCCAUUUUAGCAUAAACAGCUGCUGAUAUCCACAUGUGAGUUGGUAUUUUUCUGUUUCAUUUUAUGCUAAGUAAUUUUAUAUUAUAUGUUGAGCAUUUUGAAUACAGGUCGUCCUGUCAUAUAUCUCCAAACCUAUCAUAAGUUGGAAAUAUCAUAAGUAAACUUGCAUUGAGUUAGCUUUGCAUCAGUACAAUGAAGUUUAUGAUACAGGCUGUCUUUGAUGAAAGGUUUUUUAAUCCAUGAGUCAUGAGGUUCAAAUACACAAUUAGAUGGCUCCUCAGAUUUGGGUUUCUGAGAAAGUAGGACCUCAUAGGGAUUGUAUAUAUUAGAGAAAAUACUCACAGCUCAAACCAGGAAACAGAGAAGAUAUGGGCCCCAUCUAGUAAUCCCUUUUGAAGGUAUGCCUUCAAUGACCUACUGAAGGACCUCCCAGUAUGCCACACCUGCUAAGGGCCUAUACCAUCUCUUAAUAACUUAUAAAAGGAUGAAUCCUUUACAUAUGGACACAUAGGGGACAUUCAUUGAAAUCAUAGCAUAUAUUUAAUAAACCUGACCUACAUAAGAUAUCAUACCAGCUCAGUAUACUAACCACAGAAUUCAAUGUAUAUUUGAUUUGUGGUUUUAUUUCCCACUGUCCUUCUAUUUACUUUUCAGAAUUCUGGCACAGAUGCUGAAUGAAUUUUGUUCAUGUUUUAUAUCUGUGUUAGGUUUGUAGUCAGCUAUGACUAGCUUACUAUGAUGGUGGACUACAAACUUUUAGAAUCUCUUUGUUCCUGAGAUUGGGGUCUCUCUGUGUAGAGCAGGUUGUCCUCUGAACUCACCGUCUUUCUGCCUCUGUUUUCCAAGUGCCUGGAUUACAGGUAUGUGCCACAACAACUAGCUUAAGAAUUACUGAUGCAACCUGUUUUUGAAAAUAAUGUCUUUCAUGGGGGGAAUUUAAUUUCUCUUGUAAAAUUGCCCUUUAGAUAUUAAGUGUGCUAAACUGAUUGUUGUCCUGAAUGAAAUGAUGCUUUUCACAUUAUUCUUUACUUCUUAAAUUAUUCAUUGAAGACUUUGUUGUAAUUGAUUUUUCCAAAAAUUCUGUUUUGGCCUGGUAUGGGGGUACACUCCUUUAAUCCCAGCACUUGGGAGGUAGAGGCAGUUGGAUUCUUGAGAGUUUGAGGCCAGCCUGGGUUACAUCCUAUCUCAAAACAAAAUCUGUUUUGUGUGUCUCUUCAGUGUAAUAACUUUUAAAGUAUAUAAUACUCUUAUCUCUCUUCAGAUUGUAUAAAUCUUUCACCUUUAAAAAAUACAUUUUUGUAUCUAUAAUUCAAAAUGAAAUAAAAGCAAAGCUAAAGACAUAAUUGAAGUUUUUGUGUG